rnacentral:lncRNA from 10 species
GGAACUUCUUUCUAUUUACUUCUCUAAAAGUUCUCUUUACAACCAAGGAUGCCUUGGGUCAAUUCUAACUUCCCCUUAAAAUCAUAUACAGCUCCUCCUUGUCCCUAUCUUUCUCCCCCACAACCUGAGACAAAUGGUCAAGCAAUUCUAUUUUUCUUAUUUAUACAGAUGGGCAGAGUCAUCGAAUAUUGUGGCCUCCUUAUUGUGAGAAACACUGAUGACUGCCUACCCCACACAGUCAUCCCCCAACACCCCUACCAUCAUAUGCUCUGGAAAGGAGGAUCCUCCCCUAGUUCCUGUGGUGAAUCAUAAUUGGUCUGGAAAAGAUGUUCCUCACUGAUAAAAAGAGAAGCAUGAGAGGAAACUCUUCUUUAAUCCACCUCUGCAUGUGAUCAUCUGCAUUUGACUCCUUGAACUAUGGCAGCCAGCUGGAGCCAUGAAGUAAGCCACCCUAACAUGAGUGGCAGAAACAUGGAGAGAAUUUUAAAGCUGGACAAGACCCUCAGAAAGCAGAUAAUCAAAGUACCUCAAUCAAUUGAAGUCCUGGGACAUUAAGCAAUUUAUCCAAGGUCACAAAGCAAGUUACAAUGGAGCCACCAUUUACCUCUUGAAGGAGGAAACAGACCAUCAAUUCUGAAGAAUAGACUUUUGUCUCCAGAUUUAAUGGUUUUCCCUUUCUGCUGUUAGUAUAGAGAUCUUCAGUGUCUAAUGAGUAAGACAGUCUAAAAUUUUUCAUUUUUCAAAGAACAAAAACUCCUGACAUCUGCUUUCUUCCCUUCCCUAGCAUUAAAGAAAAAAAGAAAAAAACAAAAACAAC